rnacentral:rRNA from 1 species
GNAACUGCUUUUUGUCGGAACGAAAAGGCCCUGGUGAACAACCGGGGUUGCUGACGGUACCGUAAGAAUAAGCUCCGGCUAACUACGUGCCAGCAGCCGCGGUAAUACGUAGGGUGCGAGCGUUAAUCGGGAUUACUGGGCGUAAAGCGUGCGCAGGCGGACAUGCAAGACAGAUGUGAAAUCCCCGGGCUCAACCUGGGAACUGCAUAUGUGACUGUAUGACUGGAGUACGGCAGAGGGGGAUGGAAUUCCGCGUGUAGCAGUGAAAUGCGUAGAUAUGCGGAGGAACACCGAUGGCGAAGGCAAUCCCCUGGGCCAGUACUGACGCUCAUGCACGAAAGCGUGGGGAGCAAACAGGAUUAGAUACCCUGGUAGUCC